rnacentral:tRNA from 1 species
AAGGAUUUAAGUUAAGUAAACUAAUGACCUUCAAAGUCGUAAAUGGAGCCUCUUCAGCCCUUG